CUACGAUAGUUGCUUUUAGGAGGUUUCGGAUGAGCGGCUACAAAGUUUGUCGGGAGAAGCUUUUGUGGAAAAAUGUUGAGUACCUCAACAACAAGGAGGCACGGAGUGCGGUUAUUUUGUAUGCGAUACAUUUUUGACGUACUCACUUCAUAUUUUGGUUCGGAGGAUUUGGACAAAGUAAGUUCAUAUAAUUACUCAUUUCAUAUUUAAUAUAUUUAACUAUUUGAUGCUAACUUUGGUAAAUUA